UGUUUUUUUGGCUCAUCUGAAAUAUAAAAAUUUGCUUUAAUAAUCAAAAUAAAAUUUUUAUUUUUCUAUUUUCAUACCUUGGCGCACUUAAAUGUCAGCUGUUUGUUUAGUGCUCGCAAAUGUAGAAAAAUCGACUUUUUUCUUAUGGGUUUUUACAUGGGGCGAACGUAACAUUCGAUCUGAAUGGAACAAAACCGAGCUUUUGGGUGCAGUGGCUAUUAAUGGUGCAUCAUUUAUUUCCGAUUAUGAGAAGGUGAUGAGUAACGCUUUGAAAAUUUGCAUCCAAAUAUGAAUUUAUAUGCUUGCUGGUUCCAUUUUACACAAGCAUGUAAAAGAAAUGCAAUCAGAAUUAUUGGUUUGGAGAAAAUGCUUUCGUGCAAUAAACAUGCAUAUAUGUUGUUUGUGAAAUUUCUAUAUUUACCUCUUCUACCGGAAAGCAAGAUUGUUGAAGCAUUUAGUCUUCUUGAAGCUCAAGCCACAGUCUUAGAUACGAUGCUCGUGUCCUUUUCAAAAUAUUUUAAGAAGGAGAGGCUUAUGAAGGACCUAAAAACAUAUCGGUAUUCAAACGAUCAACAAGAACCACGGGCUCUGUUGAAGCAUAUAACUUAAAUCUGCGCAAUAAAAUUUGAACAAAGGGACACUUUUUCAAAUUUGUGGAAUGUAUCAUUGAUGCGGAGUAUGAAAAAUGUCGAGAAUUCGCUCUUUUUCAAAAUGUUAGGAUAGGUAAUUCAACACAAUCAAAACCUAUAUGUUUAAGUAUAUACGAAAUGUAAUUAAAGCCAUUAAAAUAUUUAAAAAAAAGUGAAAUAUCUCGGCCUAACACUUGACAGAAGACUAACCUGGGCAGAUCACAUCAAAAAUAAAA